rnacentral:miRNA from 1 species
UCCGGAAGUCUACCACCAGCUCCU